rnacentral:rRNA from 1 species
AUUGAACGCUGGCGGCAGGCCUAACACAUGCAAGUCGAACGAGUGGCGGACGGGUGAGUAAUGUCUGGGAAACUGCCUGAUGGAGGGGGAUAACUACUGGACACGGUAGCUAAUACCGCAUACCAUCAGAUGUGCCCAGAUGGGAUUAGCUAGUUGGUGGGGUAACGGCUCACCAAGGCGACGAUCCCUAGCUGGUCUGAGAGGAUGACCAGCCACACUGGAACUGAGACACGGUCCAGACUCCUAAGGGAGGCAGCAGGGGGGAAUAUUGCAAAAUGGGCGUAAGCCUGAUGCAGCAAUGCAGCGUGUAGGAAGAAGGCCUUCGGGUUGUAAAGUACUUUCAGCGGGGAGGCGUUACCCGCAGAAGAAGCACCGGCGAACUCCGUGCCAGCAGCCGCGGUAAUAG